AUUUUUGUUACACAAUAUAAUCGAUCGGUGGAUUACUAUGAGGCUUCAUAGAGGCUCACUUUGCACAGCAGAUGUUGUCCACCUGCUACUUGGUAUCUGCCCGCUUGACUGAAAGAAUAUAAAACAGUCAAGGACCUACUUGGAUGCAGUCAAGGAGCCCAGUCAGCGUGAGUCGCCUUCCAUAUCCUGUUCAUCCGUCUGCAAGAUUUGACGGGAGGACAGAUAUUCCCGUUAUCCGCAGUGAUCUACAGUUGCUGAAUAAAGUCAGGCAUACUAAAAGCACUAGCUCAGAAACACAGACGGAAAGCCUCACAUUUAAGAGCAGCACUGGCCUUGACAACAGUGUUGACUCUGUUGUCAUGUAGAGAGUUUGAGAGUGGAUUAAUGAGUCCUAACCUCAGCUCUCAGGUCCAGUGUUUAUUUGAGUAAAAAGAAAAAUCGCUUCCUGUUUGAACCUGCUGGGCAGUUCUGUACGUUCAUUUUUAUGUUAUUUGCCACAGUGAAGGAAUCCUGAACAUGUUUAAACUAUGAAUCUAUUCUGUUUACAGCUUUGUAGUUUUAUUAUGUGCGAGCGAAAUAUGGUUUUAUGCAUUCUAUUUUUGUUCCACUCAGUUAAAUGGGCACUGCACCAAUUUUACACUUGAAGUUCAGUUUACGUGUCAUGAGAAAUAGGUACCAGUGGAAAACAGUUGUAAA